rnacentral:lncRNA from 1 species
GAAAACCACAGAUGAUGGUGCUGGAUCAUCGCUAGUUAAAGUGCUGGAUAUGCCCAAGGUCACAUGGCCUAAGAAAAACUGCUCUCCCUUCCAAGGACCCAGCAGUCUUUAGACCAGCUCAAGCCUCCCAAUUCUCCCUGCUGGCUGAAAACCAAGUGCACUGGGAUUCUGAGAGGCAUGAACCCCCAUGCCUGAAACUUGCCUCAUCUCCCAACGAGAGCCUUGUCUGGAGUGUGCAUCAGCCAUGCCACAGGAGGCAGAGGCUCCAGUGGCUGCAGUAGAUACGGUGGCUGCAGUGGCUGUGGAGUCCAAGCGGGGAGAUAACGUGUGCUCCAGUCCUCAGAGUUCAAAAACGAAAACAUGAUUUUAGGAUACUGGAUCUGGACGGCCCUUUCUCUAUGAAUAUCCUAGAAAGCAGCCCAGCGAGGGCCAAGAUGGCAGCAUUUUGCCAGAAUCCAUUGUACCACUGGACUCCCAGUAGAGCAGACAAAGCACCCAACACCGAUUGGCUAUCGGGAUUUGGCCUACCAAUCACACACCUGAGAGGCGAGGUCCAGUGUGAGACCUUGAGAACAAAUUCCUAGAGAUGAAGAAACCCUGCCUGGAGAAUGUGAUAUGGAAACUCUGCCUCUGUUUCGACCUGCUGGCCUACUGCACAAAGUGUCAACUGCCCUGAGAUUCUGCUACCUAUCUUCCUGAGACAUUCCUGAAUAAGCAACCAAGUGCUGACAGCAUGGCGACAUGGCGACAAAGCACCAAGGAUGCAAGGAUGGACUGGGGGGGUGGGGCGCGGGGGAGGACAUGGGCCUUCCCCCUUAUAAGCACACUCUCUUAGUAAACUCACGAGCCUUGAUCAGAG